GAUGACCGCAAGGGGAGCAUUAAAGCUGAGAGUGAACGGUUUCGUUCUGACCCUUUGAACCUGUUAGUUAACGCUGGCGUAGGGAUGUGGCAAAGCCAAAUG
rfam:Bacillus atrophaeus 1942, complete genome.